rnacentral:rRNA from 1 species
GACGAACGCUGGCGGCGUGCUUAACACAUGCAAGUCGAACGGAAAGGCCCUGCUUUUGUGGGGUGCUCGAGUGGCGAACGGGUGAGUAACACGUGAGUAACCUGCCCUUGACUUUGGGAUAACUUCAGGAAACUGGGGCUAAUACCGGAUAGGAGCUCCUGCUGCAUGGUGGGGGUUGGAAAGUUUCGGCGGUUGGGGAUGGACUCGCGGCUUAUCAGCUUGUUGGUGGGGUAGCGGCUUACCAAGGCUUUGACGGGUAGCCGGCCUGAGAGGGUGACCGGCCACAUUGGGACUGAGAUACGGCCCAGACUCCGACGGGAGGCAGCAGUGGGGAAUAUUGCACAAUGGGCGGAAGCCUGAUGCAGCAACGCCGCGUGCGGGAUGACGGCCUUCGGGUUGUAAACCGCUUUCGCCUGUGACGAAGCGUGAGUGACGGUAAUGGGUAAAGAAGCACCGGCUAACUACGUG